CCUACGGGUGGCAGCAGUGAGGAAUAUUGGUCAAUGGACGAAAGUCUGAACCAGCCAAGUAGCGUGAAGGAUGACUGCUCUAUGGGUUGUAAACUUCUUUUGUAAAGGAAUAAAGUGUGGGACGUGUCCUAUUUUGUAUGUACCUUAUGAAUAAGGAUCGGCUAACUCCGUGCCAGCAGCCGCGGUAAUACGGAGGAUCCGAGCGUUAUCCGGAUUUAUUGGGUUUAAAGGGUGCGUAGGCGGUCUUAUAAGUCAGAGGUGAAAUUCUGUGGCUCAACUAUAGAAUUGCCGUUGAAACUGGGAGGCGUGAGAAUAGUUGCGGCAGGCGGAAUGCAUGGUGUAGCGGUGAAAUGCUUAGAUAUCACACAGAACCCCGAUUGCGAAGGCAGCCUGCCAAGCCAUGACUGACGCUGAUGCACGAAAGCGUGGGGAUCAAACAGGAUUAGAUACCCUAGUAGUC
rnacentral:rRNA from 1 species